CGGAGGGAAGCCGGAGCCGGCCCGCUCCCGGCAGCCCCUGCGCCUCCUGCCGGGCGGGGCUGCCCGCGGCACACAUGGCCCCGCCCCGCCCCGGCCACGGCAGGACCUCGCCGCUCGCCCGCCCCGGCCCCGGCCCCGGCCCCGGCCCCGCGCACCGCAGCAGGGCCAGGGCGGAGCCGGUGCAUCCCCCCCCCCCCCCCCCCCCCCGCCGACGCUGCCGCGGACUCCAUUGAUUUGGUCGGUUGGGCCCGAGUUAGCGACGCCGCACGGCGGGGCGGGGCGGGCCCGCGCUCUGACCCGCGGGCGGCCCCGGCCCCGGCCCCGGCCCCGGCGGCGCUGCCGGCCUGGGCCCGCCCCGGCCGUGGGGCGCUCGAGCCGGCGGACACGAGGCCCGCGGCGCGCCGGGACGGGGCGGCUCCGCGCGCGGGACGCAGGACUUCGGCCGGGCGCCUGGGCCCGGGCCCGGGGCUUCCCCCGGGGAGCAGCCCGGAGCCGCCUGGGCCGGCGGGACGCAAACCACGUUCGCGCACACGACACGUGCACGCUGCUCACGCGUGGCCGUUUCAAGGAGAGCGGUUAUAAUCUCUACCGUUCGUCCUCGCAGCAGAUACUGUGGCUGCGAGAACGCGAGCCCGAGACGGCUGGCGCCGAGGGAGGAGAACGGCUUCCGCGCGUGUUGGUGGCCGAGCGGGGCGGAGGGAGCGCCGGCACGGGCGAUCCUGGGUUCUGGUGCUCGCGCAGCCAGCACGAGUCAGCAACGGGAUGCUGCCGUGCAAACGAACUAAACAUUGGUUACGGGCCCAGAAGCAGCGCGUGCAAGACGCAGAAGGCGAUGGCUCAGCUCUGCUCCGCGCCGCCUAGGCUUCUCGGUGCAGCGGUUUCCGAUCGCCGUGGAGGAACUGGAGAACAUGGAGAGAGGACCAGCGAAGGGGAGGGAGGGAGACACGCGGAGGGAGGCUGUAGGAACUCGGGGGCACGCCGCCACUCGCACGUAUCUGGAAGGAUCCAUCAGGAUGGAGAUAUUGCUCUGCCCUGGGGGGGGGCAGGUCACGUGGCAACGACGGUGCUUCUCACCCUCGUUAGACUCAAGGCACCCGUCAGAAAAUGCCAGCUUUUAGCUUUCAUUUGAUUCUUGACUACAGAAAAGUUACGGAGCGAUUCUUGUGUUGUGAAGAACUCAGAAAGACGGCGGCAGGGCGGAGCAUGGCUGACACAGUGGAUUGCUUUUCCAAUCUCUGGUUUCAUCCCGCGAGUCUUGUGCAGGUGCUAAUAGGCAGCACCCUGUGGCACCUGAAAAGGAUCUCGUGGCAUCCGGGUUGAGAAUCAGCUGUGCGUAGCAGAGCCGUUCUAGAUCCAGUCUCAGGAAAGGCUUCCGAACCAUCACAACAGGACGGCAAUGGAAUAAGAGAAGACACCUGAGGAAAAAUAGCAUCUCCUUCAUUGGAGGCUUUUAAGAGGAGGCUGGAUAGGCCUUGGUAUUGGAUUGUUUGGCAGUAAUGAUUCCUUCACUUGUGCAGUGGGUCAAAUUGGAUAGAAGUCUUGGAGUUCCCCUUCAAUCCCAUGAUUUUAAUUGUUUUAACAAUAGCACUAAGGUGCUCUUACAUAAGACACACAUUACCAGCAUCUACUGUUAGUAAAAGCACGGUCCAAGAAACAUUCUGAUAGUAAUCAGAACAGGCAGCAGAUAUAAAGGAGAGGGCGUGAACCUUGUUGUCAGCAUUAUACAUGUGAAAAGGCAAACUACCAGUAGGCUCCAAAGAAAAAGAUGAGAUUAUAGAGCAUAACCUGCCAGACACGCAUCUUGAAUACUGAAUCAUCUGUAUAACCUAUCGCUCCCUCCGGAGUCCCUUAAAGAGGUACCCAUGCCAGGAAGAGUUUUAAAAAUAAAGUUUCACAGAUUAUCCAACCAUUUGGAACAAGAGCAUUUCUAGCUUUACGUUUCUAAAACAUUAGUAAAUUAUGAGGGUGAGGAGGAACUACUCCGGUUACAAAAGUAGGGCAACCCGAUUAAAGGUCUACUAGGAACGGGCGGGAAUAUGGAAAAUCUUUAAAUAAAGUCACAAGAAGGAAAUUAGUGUGACCGUCUGUGAGUCACCUGAGAUGACAAGAAAACAAAUGCAACAAGUAUGGGACAUAAAGAACUGGAAGGCCAAAAUAUGCAACCAAAAUUAUCUUUUAAUCAGAAAGACAGAGACUUGGUGGAAGAGUUCACACAAUGGACUGACUGAUAUAGAGGGGUAUAGCUUGCUCAGGAAGGAUGGAUGGGGAAAAAGUGGAAAAGGUUUUGUCUUAUAUCCAAGUCACAGGACCUGGUGGCGGAGGACUUUAAAUUACUGUGAUAUCAUCUGGGAGAGCAACACAGCUGAUCACAAGUGAUCCCACAAAUUCUUACAUGAUGUUGGGGAUGAGAAACCCACGAUGGGAAGAGGCUCUUCUUGGUGUUCUUCUUACUGAGAAGUAAUCAGUAGAGAAUCUGAAAGGUGGAAACCAGCCCGAGUAAUAUUCAUGAAAUGGAACAUAUCAUCCAAGGGCAAGGAAGAAAUGAGAACAGCAAAACUAUGAAAGUGGACUUCAGGAAAGCUGGCAAACUCAGGGAAUUCGUGGACAGGGUUCAAGGAUAAAGGAAAAGAUGGUCAUCCCUUAAAGAGAGAAUAUUCUGGCAUAAGACCAUGUUAGCCCUGCAUGAAAAAAAAGGACUGGAAAUGUGGAAGGAGCUCUCCACGGCUAUACUAUGAGCUUGUAAGCAAUCGAGUCACAAUUGAAGACCUGGCUAUAUGACUAUGGAUGAGUACAAGAGCAUGUAGAGACAAAAUCAGGAAGGCCAAAAUCAAGAUAGCAAGGGACAUAGCCCAAGUAAUUUAAAGUUGACAGAGUUACAAGCAACAAGAGGGUCUAACUAAUGAGAUGUACCAGCUAAUCUUCACUGUACAUGUUACAGUUACCCUUACCUUGACGGACCACGAUGCUUUAUUUUCCCUAAGUAGCUGUUCCUUGCCAAGAAGUAAUCACACCCCAAUGCUUAAGUUUUGGUAAAAAUGGCUGCUUGAAGCAUUUGUGAACCAAAAAGGAAGAAGAAUUAAAGAACUGAACUGUCCAUCAUUCAAAAAUGACAAUUUUGCUGAAACUUUUAAAAACAUUCUUUUUUAGGAUCACUCCAGGGAUAAGAAAUUUCAGCCUAAAGAGAAACAUCUUGACAAAAUCAAGAAACAAACAAAACUAGGACUGUAGGAGGGAAUGGCUCUUUCCUCAUUUAUGUCUUUGCUGUGAAAAAUCGCUCUGUGCCAGAAUAGUUAGAGCAUUGAAUAUUCAAAGCAUGGCCUCUCACUGGAAAAAGCUUGUUUCACUAUUCAGACAUUUCUGUUGCCUUCCUAAUAGGCUAAGCUCCAAAGUAAAAGAGACAACUAAACAGCAGAUAUAUGGGACUGUGCUCCACAUCUCAGUCCAUAACUCAACCCUCACUUCCCAUUUCAAACUAAAAGGCCUCUCCCCACACUUCCUCUGCAUCUUCCCAGCACUUUCCUUGCUAUUUUCCAAUUAUUUAGGAAGAGAAACAAAACUUUUUGUGGACAAAAAUUUUAGAAGAUAAAAGGUUUGAGUUGCUCACCAUUUCAACAGUAAAUCACCAACAAUAUAAAUAAUUUGUGAAAAAGUAAACAGGCUGUAGAUUUUGGUCUGAGCAUUAUUAUUUCCAUAAAUGUCAGUCAUGUUCAUCAAGAAGAAAAUAUAGAACCUCUCAAACAAACUGUUUCACAGCCCAUUUACAAAUAGAUGAAAUGUUAGCACAAAACCCCAGCCCCAUGUUCCUACCUGAUCCUGUGACCAAAAAAACCCCCAAAUCAGGGAGCAUGCACUCCAACUAUUUUAAGUUUCCUUUCUGCUGUUUGAGCUGUGUCAUGAUGGUUGAAAAAGGCUGGAUGACUUCUUCCAUAAGUGCACGUGGUCCUUUAAAGAAAUUAGUCCAAAUCUGAUAAAUAGCAAAAAUAAAAGAUGAACGGGUGAAGUGGGCACACUAGAAGGGAGGGACAGGAUACAGCUGGACCUGGCCAGGUUCCAGGGGUGGGCGGAUGAGAACAGGAUGGGUUUCAACACUGACAAGUGCAAGGUGCUGCACUUGGGCAGGAAGAACCAGCAGCACACCUACAGGCUGGGGAACUCCCUUUUCAUCAGUGCAGAGACAGAAAAGGAUCUUGGAGUCUAUUGAUUCCAAGAUGAACGUGGGCGGACAGUGUGGGGAUGCGGUCAGGAAGGCCAACCGCACCUUGUCGUGCAUCCACAGAUGUAUCACGAGCAGGUCCAAGGAGGCGAUCCUCCCCCUCUACGCGGCACUGGUCAGGUCGCAGUUGGAGUACUGCGUCCAGCUCUGGGCACCGCACUUCAGGAGGGAUGUGGACAGCAUGGAGAGGGUCUAGAGGAGGCCACCCACAUGAUCAGGGGACAGCAGGGCAGGCCCUAGGCGGAGAGGUGACAGGACCUGAACCUGUUCAGCCUCCACAAGAGAAGGCUGAGGUGGGAAUCUGGUGGCCAUCUAUAAACUGGCCAAGGGGGACCAGCGGGGAAUGGGAGAGACCUUGUUCCCCCGAGCACCUCCCAGAGUAACAAGGAAUAAUGGACAUAAGUUGUUAGAGAGCAGGUUCAGGCUAGACAUCAGGAGGCACUACUUCACAGUUAGGGCGGCCAGGAUCUGGAACCAACUUCCAAGGGAAGUGGUGCUGGCUCCUACCCCGGGGGUCUUCAAGAGGAGGCUCAACGUUUACCUGGCUGGGGUCAUUUGAGCCCAGUUUUCCUCCUGCCCAAGGCAGGGGGUCAGACUAGAAGAUCUGCAAGGUCCCUUCUGACCCUACUUCUAUGAAUCAUAAAACAGUGAAGUGGGUCUUGUAGUGCAUGUGCACCUUGUAUAGUCCAACCUGUUGCACAAUUUUAGACGGGGAAUAUGACACGGGCAAAAGCAGUUUGCCAGCAGCAGCAACCAACCCAAAGGAAUUGGAUUUUAGAAGAGGAGAGUUUGAAUACUUUGUGCGCUGGAAGGGGAAACUUGUUCCAGUCAGAGGCAGCAUCAUAAAGGCGGCCCAAAGUGCCAGAGGGGAAGAACAGCAACACAAGGAGGAGAGAGCAGAGUGCAGGGUACAACGUGGAAAUACAGCCAGAAACCUACUGAGGCUGGCAGGGGCAGGGCGCUGAGCCUUAUGCACCACAAAACACAGACCUGGUGAAAAUCUAAAAGAGAGUGUAAUGUGUUGAGUUUAAAGGCCACAAAUAGUCAAGAAGUAGGUCUUGAACUGAUACAAGGAGCUGUGAGCAUGCAUGGGGGAGGAGAUGCAUUUGAAGGCCAUCAGCACACACGGUAAGAGACCACAGAAGAGAAGUCAUUUUUCAGGCAAAAUUAAACUAGCUGACUGGCUCAGGGAGCCACUGAAAUGCAGCAAACAAAGUGAAUGCCAGAGUAGCCCACAGGCCCAGUUCUGCCAAGUCCAUUCCAGUAACUGAAGUCAGGUAGCUUCAGUUUUCACAGAUUGAAUUUAAUAUUUCUGUGCAGCCUGAAACUAACUUGCUGAUCUCGAUGUGAAGGAACAGGCAUCUCGAGCCUGUCAAGGCUAACUGGAAUAGCCUUAGUAAAAAGUAAAGGAAGUUAAAUUACAUCCUAAAGGGGAGGGAACAUUACUUUUGUGUGUAUGCACACACAUUUUAAAAUUAAACAAUUUUUCAAGCAGACAUUAGUGUAAAAAAUAAAUUCCUUUUUUAUCAUUACAAUGAGAUGUUUUAGGUUGUGCUAAAGCCAAUUAACCUUCUCUGAAAAGUCUCACUAUACAUUACAGAUACAGCUGAUCAGGAGUAGCUGACAGUCUGUUGUGUAAAUUCAUAAUACACAUUUAAAUAAGUCACUGCAUUUAUUUAUGAUUUUUUAAAGAAGCUAGAAGGCCAAAGUGAAUCUAUAUGCCUUCUGCCUGACUUCAGACUAAUAGGACUAACUACUGCUCUCUCUCCUUUAAGAAGCUACCCAUAAACAUUUAAUUUUCUAAAGAAACCCAAUGCUUUGUCUAGCAAAAAUUGCAAAUACAGCACUAUGAUCCCCACACUUCAAGAAGGACUGAGGCCCCCCACAUUUCAAGGAGGAUUUGGGCAGAUGGAAGAGUCCAGCACAGAGCAAUGAAAAUGAGUAGGGGCCUGGGAAGCAAGACUCACGAGGACAGGCUGAAAGAGCUAGGACUAUUUCGUCUGGAGAAGAGAAGACGGGGGGAAUUUGAUCCAUCUUCAAAUACCAGAAGGAGGAUGACAGAGAAGAUGGAGAUGGGCUUUUCUCUGUGGCCACAGGGGACAGAACUAGGAACAAUGGGAGAUUUAGGUUGAAGAUUAGGAGGAACUUUCUGACUGCGGGUGGUCAGGCUUUGGAACGGGCACCUAGAGAAACUGUCCGUCCCUAGCGGGGGGCGAAACGGGGCGACCGCCCUGGGCCCCGCGGAGCAGCCACGGCCCCUCCUGCGGUGCUCGCCCAGUGCUGGUGGCUCCGCGCUGCCGGUGCCUUCGUGUCCCGCCGCUCGCCACCCCCACCCCUCCCCCUCCCGCUGGCUUUGCGGCCGGCCACUGCUUCCAAUGAUUGAAGAAACUGCUUCAAAAUGAUCUGGAUCAGGCCAGGACCGUUUCCCAGGAGGUGUGGGACAGAUCCCAGAACUUCUCGUUUUUAAAUGACACCGUAUAAAGAAAACCUGUAGUCGACGAUGGUCCUGCACCUGCCAUCAAGCAGGAGGAGUCGGAUAGAGGGCGUCUCCUCUAACGUAUGCGAGCCGUAGACUGUGGUAGGCCCCAGGUUGUUUAACAGAAGAGCAUUUGCUCGACCAGGGUUUGGGGAAGAGAAGAGGCAGCAAAGGAGACGUGCAGGCGAGAGCACGUGGGAGGCAACGAUACUUCAGAACGCGCGGGAGACGGACGGACGCCGUCAGCCACACGUCAUCUAGAGUUCACAUUCAUUUUCCUGAAGAGCUGAUUUUGGUGCGACAGGCUCCCCACAUCACCUCAGAGUCGACACAGCGCAUAUAUACACAGAUAAGUUGCAUAAAUUGCUUAAAUGCCUGUAAAGGCUGUGUGAGAUCCUACGUACCUGAAUGCAAAAGUCAGAAGGAAAAACACAUAGGGCUGAUAUAAGGUGCUGUGUAGAAGGACGCCUAUAAACCUCCAUCUUACCGGUCCCAGCAUAACAUGGGUUUAACAGCACUGGCCCAGGAAUUAACCCGAGAACAAUGGCUCCUGCUUGGAAGGAAGAGCGCGGUUGAUCUGCUGAAUGUUACGCCCAAGGCAGCAGGUGGUAAUUUGGAAAACGCACGCGAAGAAAUCAAGGGGAAAACAAGCAAACAAACAAGUCAGACGAAAGGGCAAGGUGAGCCAUUCCUGCUGUGCGGCUCUACCAGACGGUCAGCUGCUGACGGCUAACGUGAGGAGACAAGGCUGGUGCACCUGCAGCACUUGAGAGUCAGCACGCAGUUGCAGACAAACAUCCUUGCAGUAAAAGUGUCCGUGUUCAUUUAAUGGCAAGAACCUCACCCAGAGACGGCUCUCUCAUGGGAAGCAGCUGGUAAGAUCAAUACGGGGACAAAACCUCAAACAGAACUUGGAAACGAGCAUGCAGUUUACUGGGAGACGAGCUUGUCUGAUCAAAUGCAGGUAGGCAACGUUCGAAGAGCAAAAGAGAUGCUGUGUUACAAACCUGGGAAUUCACAUAAAACUGCUCUGUCGCAUUAAGGUCUAUGAAAUGCUGCCAUUAAAAAUAAGUACCCAGCCAAACACAGAACAAAACAACAGGUGGACAAAGGGAAAAAACAGGCUCGAAAACCAGCAUCAGACCUGUAAGAGAAGUCCCAAACCUCUUCUUGACACCUACCCUCAUAAGCAGCCUGCGAGGAGCCUGCCCGAGGAAAGAGUGACUAAAGCCCGUUUCUGAACUCCUAAAAUAGACAUUUGGAUCGGUGCUUCCAGAGAACGAGUUCAAGCAUUGAGAGUCCCUGUAGAGCCUUUUCAUUUUAGCCUGUACACACCUCACCAGGGGCCAACGCAGGAUCUGUCUCUAGCACGCUGGCCUUGCAUUGUGCAGACCAGGUUUAAAUCAAAGAGAAAAGGGAUUAAUACUAUCACGUGGGAGGUCCUUCCACAGCCUAAUCCACUUCAUUAUUAUACAGAUUCCCCUGCCUACCAGUUCUUUCUUGUAUUUCAUCCCACUCACUACACACACCCUAAAAUUCCUCUCCACGGGAGAGCUGCACACCAGUGCUGACCUCCCCUUUUUCUAAAAAAGGCCUACUAUCUGUUUGGCAUCACACGGUGCAAGAGCUUCCUAUCUGCACAGGGUUUAGAGUGGCGAUUCUCAGGCUGGGGGCGCUGAGAGCGCCUUUUACGGGUGUUGGCUCGGUAUCAGAUGUGCAAACACCUACACGAUUCACAAAGUAAGCCAAGAGAUUUCAAAUAGGGAUCCAGGGUCAAAAACACUGCGACCUACUGUUGCACGAACGGCUAGUUUCGUGCCCCUGGAGGCUUUUCCAAUAUACCUCAAGGAGAGAGUCAGACACACUCAGGCUGGAUCCAUCUCGAGUUUAUUUGUUUGCAAACAGAUCGACAAGGGAGCUCAAUACUCAAAGCCGUGUCGACCCCUAGCCACGCCCGAAGAUACAUUUUUAUACCUCUCAUGAACAAGAUCCCAUUGUGGCAAUCUGUCAUUUGCUACAGUUUUCUGCAAAGUUUAUGUGCAAAGCAGGCAGUAACUAAUCUGUGUUCUCACAGGAGUCAGCCUUAUCGUGAACCGAGCAUUGUUCGGACUGUGCUCUCCCCCUAACAGGACCCCCCCCGGCCCCGCAGUGGUGGGGGAGAGAGGAGAACAAACCAUUUGCAGUUCUCAGCUGUGAAGCCUUUUGUGUAGUGAGAUGAGACAUUUUUGCCACACUACUGUAGUCUUCGAGUUCUUCGCAACACAAUUCCUGCCCCGCCAUCCAAACAGACAGAAAAAAUACCCCACAAGUGAAACCUAAGAGCUGACAUUUUCUGAAUGGUGCUUUGAGUCUAAUGAGGUCAAGAACCACUGGAUCAGUAUGGUAGGUACUUUUUGUGAUAGCUUUUAAUUUGAGAACCUCCACAAGUUCCCCUUUCUUGUAAAGAAUACAAUAGAAAAUGAGCAUUACCAAGCUUUAUAAAACUCUUCCAAGAAUCCAAUUGCUUGCUAAUGCCCUUUUAUGUUGUAACUUCCAGUAAAGCAAGGCCAUAUACAUUUAAAGCUUUGCCCAAAUCUAAGUUUCUAGAUGCACACAUUUGAAAGUGUUGGUUCAUUUGAGCCAGAAAAGCAUUAUACAUAUAAUCUAAAACAUAUUAAAGCUUAUGUCAGGUUUCUUAAAAGAAAGGCUUAGAUUCCUCUAAUGUUUUAAAACCAAAGUGAUAGCAUAACAAAGAUGAGAGGACAAAUGCAGAAUUAAAAAUAAUCAUAAAGAUUUAGAUACACUGCAGUUAAGUGAACAUCAUUACAAAGGUGGCAAGGAUUUGGGGGGGGGGGAAGCGAUAUCCUUCAUUGUAUAGCAUCAUUUGUCUGACCUAAGAAGGCAAGGCAUUCUUCAUAUCACUGAAAGAUAGCUUGCGUAAUUCCUGGACUACCAUGGUCACGUCACUCUAACACUACCAUUGUUACAAAGGCAACAAAGAUAAAACUCCCAUAAAAAUAAAAAGCUGGUUUAAAUUUUAAA